rnacentral:lncRNA from 1 species
UAAAGUUGCGUGAGGACGGGCAUCGACCAUGCCAUCCUCGGAGGCCAAUCCACUCUUUGACCCCUGCGAGUCCGCGACGACAAAAGCAGCAGGAGCAGCCAAGCCAACCAUCGUCAUCCAGCACGGCACCGGAGGGAGGGAGGCGAAGGUGUGGCACCACCACGCGACCACCCAACCCAACCCAACCCAACCAAACCCGUCAUCCCCUCUCCCUCUCCCACUCCCACCAACCCAAACCCCAGCCGCAACCGCCGCCCCN